CAUCAUAAAAACAUUGAUAAAUAAACAAAUCGAUCAUUUUCCAGUUGUAGAUCUUGUGGAUCUUAUAGUCGGAGACGCUGGAAGGAUACUUGGAACUCCAAAUGCAGGUCGAAAUCUAUCCAUCGAGACAUUGUCAGUUUUUGAUCCAAAGUACAAUUAAUAGUAACGAUCGUGCCUCUCAAUCACCUUAAACUGGCCUAAGAAAGUUGGAGAAAGAGACUAUUUUAUAGUGUCUCGAAGGAACGUGUGUUAUUUUUUCCAUUGUUUUAAAGAAACUUUCGACGUCGAGGUUGCCGGACGUAAAGGUGGACGCGUUAUGAAGAGGUUUCUGAAAACAUGAUUGAUAGGAGGCGAAGCAGAUGGGUCUUCAACAGUGGAAAUAUAGGAAUUACUAAGUUCCUUGGCUGCAACACACAUUUGCUUCACCUCUUCAAUUGAAUGGGACUCUGCUCUUAAGUAUCCUUGCUGGUCUUUAGGCACAUUUCUGAUGAGGGCCUCCCAUGGUAAAUGAUGAGGCAAAUCAUGGAUGUAUUCCUUCGUCUAUAACUUCCCCAGGAGUAAAUCCUGAUGAAUCGCACAGCAUAUCAGAUUUUUUUAAAAUUCUAUCUGAAGGAAUAGACCUAAAAACUUCACCAGGUAAUGCUGAAGCCAUUAAACAAUAUUUGGUCUGAUCUUCCUCAUAAAAAAAAUCCAGCUCAAUUCUUCGAAACCAAUUUUCCGGAUCCAUCGCCGAGAAUUUUCGAAGACGUAGUUCUGCUAUGGCAAGAGCUAAGUUGCUGACUUCUUCGGCUACUACUUUUGUUCGAUCUGAGGGACAUUGUCCGCAUGGUCUUGAUAAUCAGAAUGAGAUUUUUUAGGAGGCAUGAUAUCACUUCAGUGUCACCAAUGUUAAGAUUUAAAUAUCUUUAUUCUGAACUGGGUAAAAAUGAUCAUUCCUUUAUACGAAAAUAAAAAAGUAAAAAGAAUACAAGGUACUAUGAUGAAUAAUGAAUAUCAUCUAAACAAGUCGAACUCCUACAUAUUCAUUAUUCUGAAAGAAAAUAUUGGUCUGAGGCAUUAAUAUAAAUAUAAUU
rnacentral:lncRNA from 1 species